rnacentral:rRNA from 1 species
GCUAUAAUGCAAGUCGAGCGAAUGACGAAGAAGCUUGCUUCUUCUGAUUUAGCGGCGGACGGGUGAGUAACACGUGGGCAACCUGCCCUGUAGAUUGGGAUAACUCCGGGAAACCGGGGCUAAUACCGAAUAAUCCAUUUCCUCACAUGGGGAGAUGUUAAAAGACGGCAUCUCGCUGUCACUACAGGAUGGGCCCGCGGCGCAUUAGCUAGUUGGUGAGGUAACGGCUCACCAAGGCGACGAUGCGUAGCCGACCUGAGAGGGUGAUCGGCCACACUGGGACUGAGACACGGCCCAGACUCCUACGGGAGGCAGCAGUAGGGAAUCUUCCACAAUGGACGAAAGUCUGAUGGAGCAAUGCCGCGUGAGUGAAGAAGGUUUUCGGAUCGUAAAACUCUGUUGUGAGGGAAGAACAAGUACGAGAGUAACUGCUCGUACCUUGACGGUACCUCAUUAGAAAGCCACGGCUAACUACGUGCCAGCAGCCGCGGUAAUACGUAGGUGGCAAGCGUUGUCCGGAAUUAUUGGGCGUAAAGCGCGCGCAGGCGGUCCUUUAAGUCUGAUGUGAAAUCCCACGGCUCAACCGCGGAAGGUCAUUGGGAACUGGGGGACUUGAGUACAGAAGAGGAAAGCGGAAUUCCAAGUGUAGCGGUGAAAUGCGUAGAGAUUUGGAGGAACACCAGUGGCGAAGGCGGCUUUCUGGUCUGUAACUGACGCUGAGGCGCGAAAGCGUGGGG